UUCAAGAGUGCAGGGUGUUUAAUACUGCGCUUGUUCAUUACAAUAAUAAUAAUUUUACAUAUAAAAUUUUCAUUAUAGAAAAUUUUGACAUUUCGUUUACGGAAAAUUCGAAUACAUAUUUUUCAAGAAUUUGUAAUUGUAAAGGAAAAAUAUAUAAUAAAAUAGAGGAAGAAGCAGCAGCAGUCAGCAUAAAAAUUUUAAAAGAGCAAAAUAAAGAUAAAAUAAAAAGAAGAGAGUGAGAGUAGCAAAAAAAAGUAUAAAUAAAACAAAAAGUUUUUUAUAAAAUAUUUAUCAAAAUAAAUAUCAAAAUAU